GAGUUUGAUCGUGGCUCAGAGUGAACGCUGGCGGCAGGCCUAACACAUGCAAGUCGAACGGCAGCACGGCAGUAGCAAUACUGUGGGUGGCGAGUGGCGGACGGGUGAGGAAUACAUGGGAAUCUACCCUGUCGUGGGGGAUAACGUAGGGAAACUUACGCUAAUACCGCAUACGACCGAGAGGUGAAAGCGGCGGACCGCAAGGCGUCGCGCGACUGGAUGAGCCCAUGUCGGAUUAGCUAGUUGGCGGGGUAAAGGCCCACCAAGGCGACGAUCCGUAGCUGGUCUGAGAGGAUGAUCAGCCACACUGGAACUGAGACACGGUCCAGACUCCUACGGGAGGCAGCAGUGGGGAAUAUUGGACAAUGGGCGCAAGCCUGAUCCAGCCAUGCCGCGUGAGUGAAGAAGGCCUUC
rnacentral:rRNA from 1 species